rnacentral:tRNA from 1 species
GGUCCGUUAGCUUAGCCGGCAGAGCGUGGUGCUGAUAACGCCAAGGUCGUAAGUUUGACCCUUACACGGACCA